UUCCUUGUGUUUCAAAAAAAAAAUAUUUUCUUCCUUUUCUACGAUUCUAAUUUCAAAAAGUUUGUUCUAACUAAAUCCCUAUAUCACAUAUCUUUCGGCAUCUAACAUAGGAAUCUGAGUAUCCAAAUAACAUUAUUAUAAAUCUUCUCCUGAUCUUUCUCCUGAUUCAUCCUUGACAUGUUCCAUGUGGUGUUGCUUUUCUCGAGGUUGAAGGCGGACUGGAUAUGACGACGACUGUUGGAUAGAGGAGUUGAAGCAAUCAAGGUAGCAAUGACACGAUCGGUGGAUGAGUGCGCAAGAAGAAAAGCUCGAGUGGUCGAGAGAUUCAGUUGUUCAGAUAGUGACGAAUCUGAGAGAAUGAUCGUGGACUUAUACGAACGAGGCUGAGCAACAGGUUUGACUACGACGGCCAUGAAUCUGGAGAUGAAGAUUGUGGAGACAGAGCACCUAAUGAAAGCUCUUUUGGAGCAUGAUCUGCAACUGAAUCCACCAGAAGGAAACAAUCACGAGCAAGUAUGUAAUCCACCAGAAGGAAACAAUCCAAUCUCACUCUCUUGAUCGUCCAUGAGGACAUAAGCAAUGGUUUGGUGAGGGAGCGAAGCACGUGAAAGCUGUUUUCUUUUUAGCAAGUAAUAUAGCUCUAAUCGUCUUUUUUUUUGUGUGGAUGAGGUAUCUUUUGAUUCAAAACAAAAUUAUUUAGGUUGAUAGAAUGUUGGGGAGGUGCGAGAAUCCUGGAAAACAUGAAGCUAUGCUAAAGAUGAAGACGAAUUCAUGAUAAAGCCGGAGAGCGCACAAAGGAUGAAGAAAGGGUCUUAGUACUAGCUGCUACAACUAGACAUUCCACCUUGAUGAAGCAGUAGCUAGAAGCUUCCCAAAAGGUACACGGUCGGUCCAUGAAACCCGAAAAACCCAGUUAGAGACAGUCCUCUUCCUCAAACUCUUGAUCCUUUCGUGGCUGCUUUUUGAAAUCAAUCUGUUACUAUCUGUUGACUCUACGUAUUCUUUGAGCCUUUGAGCCAAAUCGAGUGUCUCUUCACUCAUAUUGGCGAAACAAACCCUAAACCAACCCGGUUCAGUACAGUGGCACGAUGAACCGGGUGAAAUAUCACUUCUAUACAAUGUUCUUCCAUAGCUCAAGCUCUGCUUCGAAUGUGUUUGUGUCCAAGAGAUGCCUCAUAUCGACCCAACAAAACAAACCAGCAUUGCUUUUAAGACAAGUAACUCCUGCGGCUUCAAGACCGGACACGAGUUGCUUUUGACGAAUCUUGAGACGUUUCUGGUUUUCGUUGAGGUACUUACCUGUGAACUUCUUGUCGGAAAGCAUUGCAGAGAGAAGGUAUUGUGUUUGGGAAGACACAAGACCGAAACUCGACAUUUUCGUCGCGGCCGAAACAAUCAUUUCUUCGUUGGAGUAUAUCGCUCCAACGCGAAAACCGGGUAAACCGAGAUCUUUGGAAAGACUGUAAACGACAUGAACUCGUUUGGAAACUUCGGUGUUCUCGAGUUUCUUGUCUUUUAAGACAUCCAUGACACUAACGAAUGGUUCAAACCCAAAAACGGUACCUGCAUAGAUCUCGUCGCUUAUGAGAUGAAUGUUUUUGGAAGUAAUGAAGUCAACGAGAAGGUUAAGUUCUCUUCUGGUCAACAUUGUGCCAAGUGGGUUAGAUGGGUUGGUAACAAGAAUCCCUUUGACCUUAAGAUCAAGCUUCUGAGCUUGUUGAUAAGCUUGUUGAAGAGCUGACUCUGUUAUUUGGAAUCCGUUGGAGCUGGAACAAUGAAUCGGUACGAUCUCUGCACCAGUUCUCCAUUUCAAAUCCCUAUCGAAUCUGUACGCAUAAGAGAAUCAAACGUCACCUCCGUUUUCUUGGGAGACAAGCGAAUAACAUAUCAACCAUUAAAAAAUUAGGGUGUAGAAAUUACCCUGGAUAGUAAGGAGUGGGUAAAAGGAAAGCAUCUCCAGGUUCUGCGAGACAAAACAUGAGAGUUUCGUUGGCAGAUGUUGAACCAGCAGCUAGAACAAUCUUGCGUGGAUCAAUUGUUACUCUAUUCACUCUUAUUUCUUCCAUAAACUCUGCCAAAGCCUAGAUGGACAGGCCAUGAUAGUCUUGGAAGAGAGCAAGCUCUUUGAAAAUGGAUUGGCCAUCCUUCUUGAGUCCGGCUGCGUCUGGAUUCUUGGCUAACCAUGUCUCUACGAGAUCAAAACAUAGCUGCAUAUAACGAAGAUCAUAUUAAGUACCAGGAAAGAUAGACUAAAUAUUUGCUAUUGGUCGAAAAACCAAACUUAAUGUAUUUACCUGGUUUUCAGCAAGACCCAUUUGAAUAAUCCCAUUAGGGUUCUUGAUUUCUUCGUAUGGGUUCUUCUCGUAUUCUUCCCAUCCCAAGAAGUAGGAUGAGUCUUGUCCAUGAGCAUUGCUUGUCACUUUUGUCGACAGUUGUUUCAUUUUAAAAAUUACAAAA